rnacentral:rRNA from 1 species
AUUGAACGCUGGCGGCAGGCUUAACACAUGCAAGUCGAGCGGGGGAAGGUAGCUUGCUACCGGACCUAGCGGCGGACGGGUGAGUAAUGCUUAGGAAUCUGCCUAUUAGUGGGGGACAACAUCUCGAAAGGGAUGCUAAUACCGCAUACGUCCUACGGGAGAAAGCAGGGGAUCUUCGGACCUUGCGCUAAUAGAUGAGCCUAAGUCGGAUUAGCUAGUUGGUGGGGUAAAGGCCUACCAAGGCGACGAUCUGUAGCGGGUCGGAGAGGAUGAUCCGCCACAGUGGGACUAGGACCAGGCCCAGACUCCUACGGGAGGCAGCAGUGGGGAAUAUUGGACAAUGGGGGGAACCCUGAUCCAGCCAUGCCGCGUGUGUGAAGAAGGCCUUAUGGUUGUAAAGCACUUUAAGCGAGGAGGAGGCUACUCUAGUUAAUACCUAGGGAUAGUGGACGUUACUCGCAGAAUAAGCACCGGCUAACUCUGUGCCAGCCGCCGCAGUAA